GGUUGGUGGCUCAGUGGUAGAGCACUUGCUUAGCAUGAAUGAGGCACUGAGUUCAAUCCUCAGCACCA
rnacentral:tRNA from 1 species